rnacentral:tRNA from 1 species
GCCAGCGUAGCUCAAGAGGUAGAGCAGUGCACUCGUAAUGCACAGGUUGGCGGUUCGAGUCCGCCCGCUGGCUCCA